ACUCCUUAGUGAUUUAAUGUAAUUCAUAUGACUUUGAUUUCUUUCCAGAAUUGCAGCCAAAAACAUAUUUCUUAUCCUCUCUUUGAUGUUUUGCUUUAGGGGAAUGUUCUUUAGAUGGACUAUUCUUAAAUGACACCCUCUGUGGAGACUCUAUUCCUUUCUACAAUCCCAGCUUCCCCUUGCCACUGUGGGUAAUGUUUGGAGUUUAUUGGUUUCCACCACCAAGAACUGCAGGAACAAGUAUCUGCUAUCUGCCUCUCCUCUCCUUCCUCACUACUACUUAUCUCUAGGAGCAGGCAAAACAUGUCUGUCUUCUCCUGAGGCUGAGCACAGUUCUUGAGACAUUGUAGCUUAUUAUAAAGAGAAACCUUAAUUGUUCAGUAUGCCACCUGCUUGACAGAACAGAAUGAAGAACAAUUACUGGCUGUGGAUUCCAUAUGGAGCUGGAAAAGACAAUGAAAAAUGAAGCAAGUUA